CUCUUCUGGAGCAGUGGUUCUCAACCUGUUUUAUAUAUAUUUUUGUAAAAUCUCACUACCUCCGUGUACCCUCAUUUGACAACCACUGUUCUAAAGAGUACAACUUCGCGUUGGCAGGGCUGGGUAACAGGACUGUUGUCUUUAGUUCCCAGGGAAGGAAGGGGUGUUGUAGAGUCCCCUCUCCGGAUGAAGCAGCUCUUUUUUUAAAAAGAGGACUUCGCGUAGGCAGGGAUAAGAAACUUGUGUGGUUGAGAGUGUGACUGGUAGGAUAAAUUGACUAGAUGGCAGUUCUAGCAUUGAUCCACGGCAAUAACACAGGCUAGUAAUUUGUUGAAAGGUCAAUUUAAACCUGCAUUGAGGAUCCUCAAAGAAAGAAAAAAAAAUUUUUGAAAAAAAUUGUAUAAACCUAAAAAAUACCAAAUUAAGAUGGGAAAUAAGAAUGAUAAAUCCCUAGCUCUUGAUGGAGAUGAGAAGUACAUGGUGAGUAAAUUUCUUAAUACAUGCCGAAGUGGAAGAAAAAGUAUGGAGUAGAAGGGAAGUUGAAAGUUGACGUGUGGAAGAUAGUGGUAGAACCUUUGGAGGAAAAUGUGGCUAGGAAGGGACUGA